AACAGACCGUCUAGAAUAUCUGACUUUCGAUGAAAGGUUAUUCCUUGAAAUUAAGAAUGGAGUCAAAAGCCAACGAAAUCUAUUUAAACCGUUUCAUACGGUGAACGAUUGCCAAGCGUUUAUUGUCACGUGAUACUCACAUGCAGCUGUGAGUGUCUCCAUGGGUACAUAUCACGUGAUACACGAGUCAUAACAGGUGGCUUAUCCCACAAGUGGCUGCGGGUGAGAAAUUCCAUUGCAGAUAUAAGAGGUGUACAUACGUAACUGGUUGCCACACCUUAGACCCACUGGAGAUAUACAUUCCAGCACAGAAAAAUUUAAAAGAACGCAGAACGCCAGUUGUUCAUUUGACACACAUCAUGUUGCGAACUUUCCUCCUUAGUGCUCUGCUUUUGGCUGUCGUUGGCGCAGCUGACCUCCGGAUGUGUCUGAGAGCAUGUCCACUUAAUUACGCACCCAUCUGUGGAUCUGACGGAGUGACAUACUCAAAUUCCUGUGAAAUGGGCGCGCGUCUGUGCAUGUCCGGGGAGACUGCUACGGUCACGGUUGCCCACCAAGGUGCAUGCUAGCUGUACAUGUGAACAUGUGAACGCAUUAAAGAACAACAUGUACAACAA